rnacentral:rRNA from 1 species
ACGAACGCUGGCGGCGUGCUUAACACAUGCCAGUCGAACGGAAAGGCCCUGCUUUUGUGGGGUGCUCGAGUGGCGAACGGGUGGGUAACACGUGAGUAACCUGCCCUUGACUUUGGGAUAACUUCAGGAAACUGGGGCUAAUACCGGAUAGGAGCUCCUGCUGCAUGGUGGGGGUUGGAAAGUUUCGGCGGUUGGGGAUGGACUCGCGGCUUAUCAGCUUGUUGGUGGGGUAGUGGCUUACCAAGGCUUUGACGGGUAGCCGGCCUGAGAGGGUGACCGGCCACAUUGGGACUGAGAUACGGCCCAGACUCCUACGGGAGGCAGCAGUGGGGAAUAUUGCACAAUGGGCGGAAGCCUGAUGCAGCAACGCCGCGUGCGGGAUGACGGCCUUCGGGUUGUAAACCGCUUUCGCCUGUGACGAAGCGUGAGUGACGGUAAUGGGUAAAGAAGCACCGGCUAACUACGUG